rnacentral:rRNA from 1 species
AUUGAACGCUGGCGGCAGGCCUAACACAUGCAAGUCGAACGCGUGGCGGACGGGUGAGUAAUGUCUGGGAAACUGCCUGAUGGAGGGGGAUAAUUACUGGAAACGGUAGCUAAUACCGCAUACCAUCAGAUGUGCCCAGAUGGGUUUAGCUUGUUGGUGGGGUAACGGAUCACCAAGGCGACGAGCCCUAGAUGGUCUGAGAGGAUGACCAGCCACACUGGAACUGAGACACGGUCCAGACUCGUACGGGAGGCAGCAGUGGGGAAUAUUGCACAAUGGGCGCAAGCCUGAUACAGCCAUGCCGCGUGUAUGAAGAAGGCCUUCGGGUUGUAAAGUACUUUCAGCGGGGAGGCGUUACCCGCAGAAGAAGCACCGGCUAACUCCGUGCCAGCAGCCGCGGUAAUUC